AGAUGUUGGAUCUCUAUUCUCCAACAUCUUAUUUUUGCUUCUAUUUUUUCAAGCCCAACACUGCAACAUUUUAUUUCUAUCUCCCGUGCUUCAUGUGCAGCACUGCAAUAAGAUAUCCAUGGAUUCCUGGACGAGCUUUGUCCAAUACUCCAAGUACUACUGACAAGAGUAUGUGCUAUGGAAGAUGUGCAUACUACGUACAGAAUGAGCUGAUGCAUGUGAGCCUGAUGUUGGAGUGAGAUUUCUCGUUGCUUGCACUGUCACGAUAAAGCAUAGAUCGAAGAUCCUUUGACCUUUCUAGGCUGUUGGUCUGAUGGAAAGAUUUUCCACUGUGUUAAGGAACAUCAUCCGGCAGAAACUAACAAAUUCGCAGAGACACACACUUAAUGGGAUUUAUCCAUGGAAGACAUGCCGUGCAUAAGAAUCAUGUUCCUCUCUGUAUAUACAACUGGUAUAUGCCACCCAAAAGGAUUGUGUAGAAAAUUAAUUUCUGGAACUUCAAUUACCUUGGAGAUGAGGUGAAGUCUACCCAGCUCUUCCAACCGCCCUCAAUACACUAUUAGGUGGGAUAAAGUAGCUCCAGUUUGGCACCGAAUAAUGGCUUCUUCUUAUUGAAAUUGGGCACUAACACUUUGAGAACCACAUUUUCCUUAUGUUAUUGUUAUUGAUCUUUAUUUCUGACCCUACAAGAAAUUUCCAUGCUCAGCUACUUGAAGAUCGAAUCACUUGCACAUGGGCCAUCUCUUAUGUACUUCACCAUGUCUAAUUUAAUUUGUCUCUAAGAGAGUGUAUUUUAUCUCAUGAGGGUGGUGUUCAUUCAGCAGUAUGCCCCCUAAUACAACUUCUAUGAUAAAUAUUUUGCCUUAAAAUA